rnacentral:rRNA from 1 species
CGUAGGCGGCCAGAUAAGUCCGGUGUGAAAGUCACAGGCUCAACCUGUGAAUGCCGCUGGAAACUGUCUGGCUAGAGUCCGGGAGGGGCGAGUGGAAUUCCUGGUGUAGCGGUGAAAUGCGCAGAUAUCAGGAGGAACACCAAUGGCGAAGGCAGCUCGCUGGAACGGUACUGACGCUGAGGCGCGAAAGCGUGGGAGCAAACA